rfam:Helianthus annuus linkage group 1, whole genome shotgun sequence.
CCGAGCUGAGCAAUGGUUAUCGUUCCUUCGGAACCAUACAUAGAAGAUUAGCAUGGCCCUUCCACAAGGAUAACACCCAUAAAUCGAUAAAUGGUCCAAAUUUGU